GGAGCUAAUACCGGAUAGUUCCUUGAACCGCAUGGUUCAAGGAUGAAAGACGGUUUCGGCUGUCACUUACAGAUGGACCCGCGGCGCAUUAGCUAGUUGGUGAGGUAACGGCUCACCAAGGCGACGAUGCGUAGCCGACCUGAGAGGGUGAUCGGCCACACUGGGACUGAGACACGGCCCAGACUCCUACGGGAGGCAGCAGUAGGGAAUCUUCCGCAAUGGACGAAAGUCUGACGGAGCAACGCCGCGUGAGUGAUGAAGGUUUUCGGAUCGUAAAGCUCUGUUGUUAGGGAAGAACAAGUGCAAGAGUAACUGCUUGCACCUUGACGGUACCUAACCAGAAAGCCACGGCUAACUACGUGCCAGCAGCCGCGGUAAUACGUAGGUGGCAAGCGUUGUCCGGAAUUAUUGGGCGUAAAGGGCUCGCAGGCGGUUUCUUAAGUCUGAUGUGAAAGCCCCCGGCUCAACCGGGGAGGGUCAUUGGAAACUGGGAAACUUGAGUGCAGAAGAGGAGAGUGGAAUUCCACGUGUAGCGGUGAAAUGCGUAGAGAUGUGGAGGAACACCAGUGGCGAAGGCGACUCUCUGGUCUGUAACUGACGCUGAGGAGCGAAAGCGUGGGGAGCGAACAGGAUUAGAUACCCUGGUAGUCCACGCCGUAAACGAUGAGUGC
rnacentral:rRNA from 1 species